UAGGGAAUCUUCGGCAAUGGACGGAAGUCUGACCGAGCAACGCCGCGUGAGUGAAGAAGGUUUUCGGAUCGUAAAGCUCUGUUGUAAGAGAAGAACGAGUGUGAGAGUGGAAAGUUCACACUGUGACGGUAUCUUACCAGAAAGGGACGGCUAACUACGUGCCAGCAGCCGCGGUAAUACGUAGGUCCCGAGCGCUGUCCGGAUUUAUUGGGCGUAAAGCGAGCGCAGGCGGUUAGAUAAGUCUGAAGUUAAAGGCUGUGGCUUAACCAUAGUACGCUUUGGAAACUGUUUAACUUGAGUGCAAGAGGGGAGAGUGGAAUUCCAUGUGUAGCGGUGAAAUGCGUAGAUAUAUGGAGGAACACCGGUGGCGAAAGCGGCUCUCUGGCUUGUAACUGACGCUGAGGCUCGAAAGCGUGGGGAGCAAACAGGAUUAGAUACCCUGGUAGUCCACGCCGUAAACGAUGAGUGCUAGGUGUUAGACCCUUUCCGGGGUUUAGUGCCGUAGCUAACGCAUUAAGCACUCCGCCUGGGGAGUACGACCGCAAGGUUG
rnacentral:rRNA from 1 species